rnacentral:rRNA from 1 species
GUGGAUUAGAUACCCUGGUAGUCCACGCUGUAAACGAUGUUCACUAGGUGUUGGGGGUAUUGACCCUCUCAGUGCCGCAGCUAACGCAUUAAGUGAACCGCCUGGGGAGUACGGUCGCAAGAUUAAAACUCAAAGGAAUUGACGGGGGCCCGCACAAGCGGUGGAGCAUGUGGUUUAAUUCGAUGCAACGCGAAGAACCUUACCUGGGCUUGACAUCUGGGGAAUCCUUGGGAAACCAAGGAGUGCCUUUCGGGGAGCCCCAAGACAGGUGCUGCACGGCUGUCGCCAGCU